UGAUACAAUCAGCAAAGCAAUGAAAGCACUUACGGCGAGGGCCAGAGAUCGGCAGCAAGAGGCGCCUCUGUCAGCGGCCGAAGCACAUUCAGAUAAUUC